GGUGACUCUGCAGUAGCUCUUCGUCCUUGGGAGGUCCAUAGGAUGUGCUUCUGGCUGGCUAGAUAUCGUUGCUGUUAGAACUAAGGAUAAAUCAUGAUUUUUUGCGAAAAUCGUGGCCGCCUUAUUGCAGAGAUUUAGCGUACAAAAGAAACCAAAAUUUCAAUGAUAUGCCAAUCUUCGGUAGGCUAUAUCUCAGACAAUUAGGGCCAGAUCGGUGAAGGGGCCAACUCUCCCAGGAUCGUCAGGAUCCAGACGUCUGAUCCAGAAUUACAAAUUACAAAUGAAAUAGGAAAAAAUCUAUAAUUAACCGUCUGAUGGCUCCUUUCCCCUAGCAUCCUAGCUGGCAACGCAUUGUGCUGGCGCAUUGUGGAGAUCAACCACAAAGGGAGCAUGGGUCCUAAGGCUCCUUGCAGGCGUGCUCAAGCCAAUCCUACUAAACAGGUCUGGGCAAUCGAUGUUACCCACUAAGAGUUUAUAGGUGAAGAUCUGAGCAGCAAUAGUCCUUUCAUCCUAGCGGGAGGAGAGAUGCACGAGGCGAAAUUCGCGAACUUUCUGGGUGCCAGGAUUUGCUACAGCUUCAAAACGCGCAGAGGACUUAUGUACCCAACGCUUUGCCACAAGCCGAGUCGUAUGCGACUUCUCCCCGCCAGAGGGAGACCCAUCCAAGCACCGAGGCUUAUUCGAGACAGAACGAGUCCUAUCCCAUGCAGAGAGAAUCGUAUCCCAACAGGACAGAAGCGCACCCCAUGUAUGAUCCGAACCUUACAAGCCAUCGGCAUCCUCCGAACUGGGCAUCGAAAACAAGGAGUUUGACUAUGGAAACCAAGGGAGGAGCUAUGAGGGCAGCUAGACUAGGACAUACGCGUGCAUUAGUUUAGAUAGUAGAUGCAAAUGUUUUUCACUUGUUAAUUUAUUUAUACUAAGCUAAGUUUUGAUGAAUAAAACUAUUGAAAAAUCA